rnacentral:rRNA from 1 species
UACGAACCGUACGAGCGUUAUUCGGAAUCACUGGGCUUAAAGGGUGCGUAGGCGGCGCUACAAGUUGGGUGUGAAAUCCCUCGGCUCAACCGAGGAACUGCGCCCAAAACUGUCUUGCUCGAGGGAGACAGAGGUGAGCGGAACUUAGGGUGGAGCGGUGAAAUGCGUUGAUAUCCUAAGGAACACCGGUGGCGAAAGCGGCUCACUGGGUCUCUUCUGACGCUGAGGCACGAAAGCUAGGGUAGCGAACGGG